GCGGGGCGCGUCUAGGGUUCCGCCACCGCCGGGGUGGGUCUGGUCCGAGAGACGCAGGCGGUCCGCGCCGGAUGCGGAACCGUUCCACGGCGGGAGAAAAGCCCGGGAGGC
rnacentral:sRNA from 2 species